GCAUCGAUGAAGAACGCAGCGAAAUGCGAUACUUGGUGUGAAUUGCAGAAUCCCGUGAACCAUCGAGUCUUUGAACGCAAGUUGCGCCCGAAGCCGUUAGGUUGAGGGCACGUCUGCCUGGGUGUCACAC
rnacentral:rRNA from 2 species